rnacentral:rRNA from 1 species
UACGAAGGGGGCUAGCGUUGCUCGGAAUCACUGGGCGUAAAGCGCACGUAGGCGGCUUUCUAAGUCAGGGGUGAAAUCCUGGAGCUCAACUCCAGAACUGCCUUUGAUACUGGGAAGCUCGAGUCCGGAAGAGGUGAGUGGAACUCCGAGUGUAGAGGUGAAAUUCGUAGAUAUUCGGAAGAACACCAGUGGCGAAGGCGGCUCACUGGUCCGGUACUGACGCUGAGGUGCGAAAGCGUGGGGCAAACAGG